CUCUCUCCGCUCGUCGUUUCGUUGCAAUGAUUCGCGAUAACCGCAUUAAUAAAGUUAAUUGAUACUUCAACGGCGCGUCGCACUUGUCGCCAUUGUGAUCGGUCGUCUUUAAGGAUUUCAAGUUGAUUUUUAUAAAUUCUUAACAGUCACGAUAGAAACUCACGGAAUUUUUCACGGUUUAAUUUUAACCACAAAAGAGAUAUUGAAUUGCAUUCCCGUGCGAAUUCCCAGAAACUUAAGGGCGCUAUAAGGAAAAAGUGUAAUAAGAUCUGUUAUUGCAAAACAGAUUUAAUAUAGCUAAUAAUUGUAACCUUAUUUUAAAUUCUGCGAAGUGGCAAUUUUGAAAAAAAGCGAACGUUUCGUCGUACGUGAGAUUUAGCGAAAAAUAUUAAAGAAAAAAAAGAUGGAGAAAAAAAUGAUGAGCCAAAGUCGUGAGUAUCUCAUUGUCAAAUGGUCGGAAACAUUCUCGCGUGUUGGCGAAAAAGCAGAAACACCUACUCUAUUCCUUCGCUCGCACGUCCCUUUUGUCAGAGGAUCGAUGAAUUUCUGCUCCCGUACAGAAAAUGAGAGGUAGAACAAUAAGAGGUGGACGAAAUUCGUGCUCUCUCUCAGAAAAGCGAAACGAACUAGUUCUGAAGCGCGCGGCGAAAAGUAAUGAUCUUUCGGCCUGCGGUCUUCGCUGAUGAAAUCAUAUUUUUCCCCUUUUGCUCCGUAAAUAAUUCGGGAGAAAAAAAUAACGGAAGUACAAAAU